CCUACGGGAGGCAGCAGUGGGGAAUAUUGGACAAUGGGGGGAACCCUGAUCCAGCCAUGCCGCGUGUGUGAAGAAGGCCCUCGGGUUGUAAAGCACUUUCAGUGAGGAAGAACGCCUGGUGGUUAAUACCCAUCAGGAAAGACAUCACUCACAGAAGAAGCUCCGGCUAACUCCGUGCCAGCAGCCGCGGUAAUACGGAGGGUGCGAGCGUUAAUCGGAAUUACUGGGCGUAAAGCGCGCGUAGGUGGCUUGAUAAGCCGGUUGUGAAAGCCCCGGGCUCAACCUGGGAACGGCAUCCGGAACUGUCAAGCUAGAGUGCAGGAGAGGAAGGUAGAAUUCCCGGUGUAGCGGUGAAAUGCGUAGAGAUCGGGAGGAAUACCAGUGGCGAAGGCGGCCUUCUGGACUGACACUGACACUGAGGUGCGAAAGCGUGGGUAGCAAACAGGAUUAGAUACCCUAGUAGUC
rnacentral:rRNA from 1 species